UACUAACAAAACUAUUUAGUGCUUCUAAGCAAUAUUUUGUUGGUUAUAGCUUCUUUUGGGAGAAGAUGGGUAUAAUUGUUGUCUAAACACUACUUAUCCAUCUCUAACUCUAUAAUUAGUCCAAUGCAUUGGAUUGUGAAACAUUUUGACUAUAGAAACACUAACAGAUCUAUUGACUGCUUUUAAGCAAGUUUUUUUGGUUUUAGCUUCUUUUGGGAUAAAAUGGGUAUAAGUAUUGUCUAAACACUUCUAAUCCAUCUCUAACUCUUAUAAUUAGUCGAAUGCAUUGGAUUGUGAUACAUUUGGACCAUAUAAACACUAACAAAGCUAUUUAGUGCUUCUAAGCAAUAUUUUGUUGGUUAUAGCUUCUUUUGAGAGUAAAUGGGUAUAAGUGUUCUUUAAACACUCCUAAUCCAUCUCUUACUCUUAUAAUUAGUCAAAUGCAUUGGAUUAUGACACAUUUUCACCAUAGAAACAGUAACAAAUCUAUUGACCGCUUCUAAGCAAGUUUUCUUGGUUUUAGCCUCUUUUGGGAGAAAAUGGUUAUAAGUGUUGUCUAAACACUUCUUGUUCAUCCCUAACUCUUAUAAUUAUUCAAUUGCAUUGGAUUGUGACACAUUUUGACUAUAGAAACACUAACAAAUCUAUUGACUGCUUUUGAGAAAGUUUUGUUGGUUUUAGCCUCUUUUGGGAGAAAAUGGGUAUAAGUGUUGUCUAAACACUUCUUAUCCAUCUCUAACUCUUAUAAUUAGUCAAUGGUAUUGGAUUGUGACACAUUAUGACCAUAUAAACACUAACAAAUCUAUUAACUGCUUCUAAGCAAGUUUUGUUGGUUUUAGCCUCUUUUAGGAGAAAAUGGGUAUAAGUGGUGUCUAAACACUCCUAAUCCAUCUCUAACUCUUAUAAUUAUUCGAAUGCAUUUGACUGUGAUACCUUUUGAACAUAAAUACACAAACAAGGCUAUUUACUGCGUCUAAGCAAAUGUUUGUUGGUUUAGCCUCUUUUGGGAUAAAAUAGGUACAAGUGUUGUCUAAACACUUCUAAUCCAUCUCUAACUCUUAUAAUUAGUCGAAUGCAUUGGAUUGUGAUACCUUUUGACCAUAAAAACACUAACAAAUCUAUUGAGUUGUUCUAAGCAAGUUUUGUUGGUUUUAGCCUCUUUUGGGAGGAAAUGGGUAUAAGUAUUGUCUAAACACUUAUUAUCCAUCUCUAACUCUUAUAAUUAGUCAACUGCAUUGGAUUGUGACACAUUUUGACCAUAGAAACACUAACAAAUCUAUUGACUGCUUCUAAGCAAGUUUUGUUGGUUUUAGCCUCUUUUGGGCGAAAAUGGGUAUACGUGUUGGCUAAAGACUCCUAAUCUAUCUCU
rnacentral:sRNA from 1 species